GAUGAACGCUGGCGGCGUGCCUAAUACAUGCAAGUCGAGCGAACAGACGAGGAGCUUGCUCCUUCGACGUUAGCGGCGGACGGGUGAGUAACACGCAGGUAACCUACCUAUAAGACUGGGAUAACUUCGGGAAACCGGAGCUAAUACCGGAUAAUAUUUCGAACCGCAUGGUUCGAUAGUGAAAGAUGGCUUUGCUAUCACUUAUAGAUGGACCUGCGCCGUAUUAGCUAGCUGGUAAGGUAACGGCUUACCAAGGCAACGAUACGUAGCCGACCUGAGAGGGUGAUCGGCCACACUGGAACUGAGACACGGUCCAGACUCCUACGGGAGGCAGCAGUAGGGAAUCUUCCGCAAUGGGCGAAAGCCUGACGGAGCAACGCCGCGUGAGUGAUGAAGGUCUUCGGAUCGUAAAACUCUGUUAUUAGGGAAGAACAAACGUGUAAGUAACUGUGCACGUCUUGACGGUACCUAAUCAGAAAGCCACGGCUAACUACGUG
rnacentral:rRNA from 1 species